rnacentral:rRNA from 1 species
CAGUAGCCGCGGGAAUACGUAGGUGGCAAGCGUUGUCCGGAAUUAUUGGGCGUAAAGGGCUCGCAGGCGGUUUCUUAAGUCUGAUGUGAAAGCCCCCGGCUCAACCGGGGAGGGUCAUUGGAAACUGGGAAACUUGAGUGCAGAAGAGGAGAGUGGAGUUCCACGUGUAGCGGUGAAAUGCGUAGAGAUGUGGAGGAACACCAGUGGCGAAGGCGACUCUCUGGUCUGUAACUGACGCUGAGGAGCGAAAGCGUGGGGAGCGAACAGGAUUAGAUACCCCUGUAGUCCCUGUCUCUUAUAC